UUAAUUUUGAUAUCUUUAAGAUAUGUGACAAGGGUGCUCUAAUGCAGAGGAAUUUACGAAGUUAAGAAGUUGAAAAUAUAUUUUGUGCACUUUUUUUGUCAUUUUUAGCUGAUUUUGGUUUGUAACCAAGGUGAUAUUUUUUAAAGAAUAAUUUUACAAAAGGCAUAGUUGAAGAACAUCUUGUUGAAAUUGGAUUGGUUGAUUUUUGGUGUUAAAAACCACUUUAACAUGAUUUACUAUAAUUUUGGCUGUAAAUUUUUAUUUGUGGAGACAGCCAGAGUGCCUGGUGAAAACAUCACCUUCAUCAAGGAAACAGGCAAACCCUAGUCAAAUUAAGAAUGAAGUUACACAUUUCAUGUGAGGGUUUUCAGUGUUGACAGGCUAGUGAUACAGUAGUUGAAGUACUUAUAGGACCACUCUGCCACCAUAAGUAAAUAUUUUAUUGAAAUGUGUUAGAUUUUUGUUGUCAAUCUAUUUUUUAAUUUUAAUUGUACUAUUUUAUUUAUUUUGUUUAAUAUAACAAGGAUGUGGAGUCCGAACAGGGUGAAAUUUGGGUCAAAGGGAGGCAAUUUAUUAUACCCCUGUUUAACUCCACAUACUUUAAAUUCCCUCAAUGUUAGGAUUUUCAUCUACUUGGAUAUUCAUGUUUGUACAUUUUUUUUUAAUAUCAGAUGUAUACUAGCUAAUAUUGACUAUUAUUUAGAGCUCUGUAAUAAAAAAAAAUAAAUGUAAGCAGAGCUCUAGAUAAUAAGUAUGCAGGGUGGGAGAAAUCUUGGGUCAUUAACAAUUGAUUUGCUGAAAUUUUCUAGAAAGGGGAUUUAUUGGAAAUGCAUCUGAUAUAUUUAAUGUAUAAAACUAUAUUUAAAAAAAAAAGAUGUUAAGAUGAUGAGGAGAGCCACCUUGUCAGCCGGGAGAGCAGCUCUAAGGGAGAUGGUCAAUUUAAUCUUCACCAAGUCUGAGGCUUUACCAUGAAAAAUAUGUGGUUGUUAUAAUGAUGAUGUUUUCAUGGUGUUGGGAGUAAGACUUGGAUGUCUGAUAUUGUUAACAUGUUGGUUAGCAUCAGGUUUCCAUUGGGUUACUUGCUGGGAUAAAGCUGUUAUAAGUCGAAAGAGUUGCUGUUGCUGCCUUCCUUGUAUGGUAAAAUCUUCAGACUACAAUUCUGCAAACCAUUGGAUGAACUGUUGCUAUCUUUUGUAAAAAAAUCAGCAGAAUGAAUAA